rnacentral:rRNA from 1 species
UACGUAGGGGGCUAGCGUUGUCCGGAAUCAUUGGGCGUAAAGGGUACGCAGGCGGUAAUGCAAGUCAGAUGUAAAAGGCAGUGGCUUAACUACUGUAAGCAGUUGAAACUACAUAUCUUGAGUAGAGGAGAGGUAAGUGGAAUUUCUAGUGUAGCGGUGAAAUGCGUAGAUAUUAAAAAGAAUACCGGUGGCGAAGGCGACUUACUGGGAUCAUUCUGACGCUGAGGAACGAAAGCGUGGGUAGCAAACAGG